rnacentral:rRNA from 1 species
CAAUAGCGUAUAUUAAAGUUGUUGCAGUUAAAAAGCUCGUAGUUGGAUUUCUGGUGGGAGCGAUCGGUCUGGCGCUUAGCGCGAGUACUUGCAUCGUCUCCGGCCAUCCUUGGGGAGAGUCUGUCUGGCAUUAAGUUGUCGGGCAGAGGAUCCUCAUCGUUUACUGUGAAAAAAUUAGAGUGUUCAAAGCAGGCUUAUGCCGUUGAAUAUAUUAGCAUGGAAUAAUAAGAUAGGACUUUGGUACUAUUUUGUUGGUUUGCGCACCAAAGUAAUGAUUAAAAGGGACAGUUGGGGGUAUUCGUAUUCCGUUGUCAGAGGUGAAAUUCUUGGAUUUACGGAAGACGAACUACUGCGAAAGCAUUUACCAAGGAUGUUUUCAUUAA